rnacentral:rRNA from 1 species
GCUGGCGGCGUGCCUUAGUCUAAUACAUGCAAGUCGAGCGAAUGGAUUAAGAGCUUGCUCUUAUGAAGUUAGCGGCGGACGGGUGAGUAACACGUGGGUAACCUGCCCAUAAGACUGGGAUAACUCCGGGAAACCGGGGCUAAUACCGGAUUGAUCAUAACAUUUUGAACCGCAUGGUUCGAAAUUGAAAGGCGGCUUCGGCUGUCACUUAUGGAUGGACCCGCGUCGCAUUAGCUAGAAGCAUUUGGUGAGGUAACGGCUCACCAAGGCAACGAUGCGUAGCCGACCUGAGAGGGUGAUCGGCCACACUGGGACUGAGACACGGCCCAGACUCCUACGGGAGGCAGCAGUAGGGAAUCUUCCGCAAUGGACGAAAGUCUGACGGAGCAACGCCGCAAUUGAUCGUGAGUGAUGAAGGCUUUCGGGUCGUAAAACUCUGUUGUUAGGGAAGAACAAGUGCUAAUGUCCAAGUUGAAUAAGCUGGCACCUUGACGGUACCUAACCAGAAAGCCACGGCUAACUACGUGCCAGCAGCCGCGGUAAUACGUAGGUGGCAAGCGUUAUCCGGAAUUAUUGGGGUACCAUGCGUAAAGCGCGCGCAGGUGGUUUCUUAAGUCUGAUGUGAAAGCCCACGGCUCAAUUGAUC